rnacentral:rRNA from 1 species
UUGAACGCUGGCGGCAUGCUUUACACCUGCAAGUCGAACGGCAGCGAGGAGAAGCUUGCUUCUCUGUCGGCGAGUGGCGAACGGGUGAGUAUAGCAUCGGAACGUGCCAAGUAGUGGGGGAUAACCAAACGAAAGUUUGGCUAAUACCGCGUAAGCUCUAAGGAGGAAAGUAGGGGACCUAAAUAAGGCCUUACGCUAUUUGAUCGGCCGAUGUCGGAUUAGCUAGUUGGUGGGGUAAUGGCUCACCAAGGCAAUGAUCCGUAGCGGGUCUGAGAGGACGAUCCGCCACACUGGGACUGAGACACGGCCCAGACUCCUACGGGAGGCAGCAGUGGGGAAUUUUGGACAAUGGGGGAAACCCUGAUCCAGCCAUGCCGCGUGUAUGAAGAAGGCCUUAGGGUUGUAAAGUACUUUUGUUAGGGAAGAAAAGCUAGUUUUUAAUAAAAAUUAGUGAUGACGGUACCUAAAGAAUAAGCACCGGCUAACUACGUG